GAUGAACGCUGGCGGUAUGCUUAACGCAUGCAAGUCGAACGGACUCUUCGGAGUUAGUGGCGGACGGGUGAGUAACGCGUGAGAAUCUGGCUUUGGGUUCGGGACAACCACUGGAAACGGUGGCUAAUACCGGAUGUGCCGAGAGGUAAAAGAGAAAUUGCCUGAAGAUGAGCUCGCGUCUGAUUAGCUAGUUGGUGAGGUAAAGGCUCACCAAGGCAGCGAUCAGUAGCUGGUCUGAGAGGAUGACCAGCCACACUGGGACUGAGACACGGCCCAGACUCCUACGGGAGGCAGCAGUGGGGAAUUUUCCGCAAUGGGCGAAAGCCUGACGGAGCAAUACCGCGUGAGGGAAGAAGGCUCUGGGUUGUAAACCUCUUUUCUUAGGGAAGAACAAAAUGACGGUACCUAAGGAAUCAGCAUCGGCUAACUCCGUG
rnacentral:rRNA from 1 species